UAAAUAAUCCCUCCAUCCCAAAUUCGUGUCUUACAUUUGUCUAAAUACAGAUGUAUAUAGUUACGUUUUAGUGUUAGAUACAUCCAUAUCUAGACAAAUUUAAGACAAGAAUUUUGGGGCGGAGGGAGUAUCUA
rfam:Triticum aestivum genome assembly, contig: Triticum_aestivum_CS42_TGACv1_scaffold_129543_2BL